GUACACACCGCCCGUCGUUGCCUGUAAUGGCAUGUGAGUAGAACCGUUUGGAGGUUCAGGUGCUUGUAUUUGUCCAAAAUUCGGUAAUACUUGCAUGCUAGAAGAGGCAAAAGUCGUAACAAGGUUGCUGUAGGGAACCUGCAGAAGGAUCA
rnacentral:rRNA from 1 species